rnacentral:rRNA from 1 species
GGUUGAACUCGGAUUAGGUAGGGAUACCCGCUGAACUUAAGCAUAUCAAUAAGCGGAGGAAAAGAAACCAACAGGG